rnacentral:rRNA from 1 species
CCUACGGGAGGCAGCAGUGGGGAAUAUUGGACAAUGGGGGGAACCCUGAUCCAGCGACGCCGCGUGAGUGAAGAAGUAUUUCGGUAUGUAAAGCUCUAUCAGCAGGGAAGAAAAUGACGGUACCUGACUAAGAAUCCCCGGCUAACUACGGGCAAGCAGCCGCGGUAAUACGUAGGGGGCAAGCGUUAUCCGGAUUUACUGGGUGUAAAGGGGGCGUAGGCGGUGCAGCAAGUCUGAUGUGAAAGGUCGGGGCCCAACCCCGGGACUGCAGGGGAAACUGGUGAACUGGAGUACAGGAGAGGCAGGCGGAAUUCCUAGUGUAGCGGUGAAAUGCGUAGAUAUUAGGAGGAACCCCAGUGGCGAAGGCGGCUUACUGGACUGUAACUGACGUUGAGGCUCGAAAGCGUGGGGAUCGAACAGGAUUAGAUACCCGUGUAGUC